rnacentral:lncRNA from 1 species
GACGACAAUUGCCAUGCCUAGACCCAUGAGUUCACCGCUUGCCUUAAUAUUAGUAAAAGAAGUGCCAAAGAACUGAGAAACUUACCCCAAAAAAAGAUAAAGACCUUUGCUAAUAGACUGAAGUAGGAAGUAGAAAAUAUUAGAUAGUAUAAGAAGAUGAGUUUACCAAUAACAAAAAUCCUUUUGUGAAAUUGUACAAAACUAAACUUAAAUCACCUAAUGAAAUCAGAAAUGCAACGUAAUUAUAGAAUUUAAGUAGUUUUUCAAUAAUUAAUCCAACUUGAAAAUACAUCUCUUCUUCCUAGGUUUCAAUCCUCCUUUGUUCUGUCAUAAUCGAUGCUUUAUCAAUUAUCAAUACAUUCAAUUGUUAGUAUUCUGUUCACUGUAAACAACCUUUAAGGCAGGGGAGUAACUUCAUGAUUCAAGUUCGCCUAAACAUAAAAAUGGCAAGGCCUUCUCAAUUUAAUAAUCCUAUAAGGAGGUCAUUUAUAUACAAACAUUUCACAAUGCGAAAGAAAAGUUCUUCAACGAAUGCCAGACCCAAAAAUACGUAGAUAUACAAACUACAAAUAAUUAUUGAAAUCAUGUAGUUAAAUAAUACUAAGCAUGUUGGAUGAACGUGGAAGAAUAUUAACAUAAGAAGUCGCCAAUUAGUAAAACUAAUUUACUGAAAAUAUAGAAUAAGGUAGUUUCGAACAUGUCAAAAAUUUGUUGCUACGCAUAAGUGAGAAAAAUCUAGAAAUAUGUUUAUUGCUCUCAUUUAUGUAUAAAAACUUACCUCGCCUUAAAAGUUUCUUCUCUAGCACUAUUUGACACAUUAGGCGAGCAUCCUAGAAUAUACAAUUCUUAUCCAAACAAUUCAGCUCAUCCUAGUUUUGUUGCAGGAUGUUUAGAAACUGGUCCUUCGCAUUCCACACACCACCAACUUUGACUUCUUCUAUCUGAUAUGCACGACUACGAUAUAUUGAUUAACAAAAGGAGGGGAAGCCAAACAUCAAUAUCUACCCACAUCAAUGUCUAAUUUCUUUUACAAUCACAUAUGAAUGUUUAUAGAUAUAAUGAGUUUUGAUCUAGCAUCCUGGUCAGCAGCUUACCAUUUUUCACCAUACGUCAAUCCAACACACCUCUUCACAUAGUUUCAUUUUCUCUUCAAUACCAUACUGCUAUUCGAAAUUGUAAUACAAAAUGCCUAGAAAUUACAAAUAUGUAUUUAAUGCCAAAAUCGGUAUCAGUUGAAUCAACUUACCCACCUCUCCUGACAGUCAAGUGGCGUUCAAAUAGACUUUGAGCGCAAAACCAGUCAAAUUGAAUUCAUCUAAGAAUAACCCACAAAGUUCACACGAAAGAUAAGUAUUGAAUCUCUCAAAAUAGCAAAAUACAGCCAACAAUAUCUUUUCAAUUUCUUUAGAAGUAGAAAAGAUAUCUCUAAAAUAAUCCCUCUUCAGAAAUACUGGAUUAUGUAGGGACAAGAUACCUGAAAUACAGGCCAAAGACAACGAAGAGCCCUAGCAAUAAUUCAUAUUCACAAGAACGGAACUAAGGUAUACCCACCAAUAAAAAUAUAUAAACAAAGAAAUACCUUCAAAAAUUCAGCCAACAAUCCCUCAGAAGAGAAGAAUUAAUAGCAAACAUCACACCAAAAUCAAAAGAGAACAUAAAUUUGGAUGUGAACAGAGAGAAAUUUCUAAUACUCUUUCACCUGCUUUGAGAGGGAGAGAGUAAUGUGCAGUACUACUUUAGUACACGUAUUCUCUUGCAAAGAAAAAGAAGUACACGUGGUUAGAAGUAC